rnacentral:sRNA from 1 species
GCCGGGCAUGGUGGUGCCUGCCUGUAAUCUCAGUGCCUUGGGAGGCUGAGGCAGGAGGAUCACAAAUUCAAGGCCAGCCUCAGCAACUUAGUGAGGUUGAAAGCCUGUCUCAC